UCUACAAAAUAUUUCAAAAUUAGCCAAGCAUGAUGGACACCGGAGCAGCUCCUCCCUGGCCUUGCAGUUGGGGGCCCCAGGUCCGAUGCUCUGCCAGCUACUUCCUGUAUGACCCGUGGACUGUGGAUCCCCUUCUCUGACCUACAAGCCAGAUUCUCCCAAGGCUCCAGGGGUUCUGAGGGUCCACACUGCCCAAGCUCAUCUUGACCCCUGUCUAAGCCAGACGACCAGGCAGAUGGUCUGUCUGUCCAUCCUCCGGCUAUGAGACAUG